UGCGUAGGCGGAUUGAUAAGUUAGAGGUGAAAUGUCCGAGCUUAACUCGGGAACUGCCUCUAAUACUGUUGAUCUAGAGAGUAGAUGCGGUAGGCGGAAUGUAUGGUGUAGCGGUGAAAUGCUUAGAGAUCAUACAGAACACCGAUUGCGAAGGCAGCUUACCAAUCUAUAUCUGACGUUGAGGCACGAAAGCGUGGGGAGCAAACAGGAUUAGAUACCCCCGUA
rnacentral:rRNA from 1 species